GACGAACGCUGGCGGCGUGCUUAACACAUGCAAGUCGAACGACGUGGCGAACGGGUGCGUAACGCGUAAUCAACCUGCCCUUCAGAGGGGGACAACAGUUGGAAACGACUGCUAAUACCGCAUACUUAAGGAGGGGAUUGCGUCUGAUUAGCUAGUUGGAGGGGGAACGGCCCACCAAGGCGAUGAUCAGUAGCCGGUCUGAGAGGAUGAACGGCCAAAUUGGGACUGAGACACGGCCCAGACUCCUACGGGAGGCAGCAGUGGGGAAUCGUACGCAAUGGACGAAAGUCUGACGGAGCAACGCCGCGUGAUUGAUGACGGCCUUCGGGUUGUAAAGCUCUGUUAAUCGGGACGCGGUACCGGAAUAGAAAGCCACGGCUAACUACGUGCCAGCAGCCGCGGUAAUAC
rnacentral:rRNA from 1 species